rnacentral:rRNA from 1 species
UACGUAGGUGGCAAGCGUUGUCCGGAUUUACUGGGUGUAAAGGGCGUGUAGCCGGGCUGACAAGUCAGAUGUGAAAUCCGGGGGCUCAACCCCUGAACUGCAUUUGAAACUGUUGGUCUUGAGUAUCGGAGAGGCAGGCGGAAUUCCUAGUGUAGCGGUGAAAUGCGUAGAUAUUAGGAGGAACACCAGUGGCGAAGGCGGCUUUCUGGACUGAAACUGACGCUGAGGCACGAAAGCGUGGGGAGCGAACAGG